GGCAUCACACAUUGGUACAGAGGACUUAUUCUGGUGUGGUCUUGCAGCGUUCAAAGGUUUUUACUCUGAAGAAUGGACGAUUUCAUCAUGAAAGUGGUGACGAUCAUCAUCAUGUGUAUCGGCCUUCCUUUGACCCUUGUGGCCAUCUAUGCUGUUCGUUCUCUGGUGAAAGAUGAUCAUGUUGUUCCGAUCUACGUCAUCAACCUUCUCAUUACCGACC